rnacentral:lncRNA from 1 species
CAUAAUUCACAAUUUCACAAUUUCACAAUUUUACCAUAAAUUUAUCAUCUUUUACAAUUUAAUCCCUAAUUGAUAAUUUCAUCAAAAUUCUUUUUACAAAAGUUGCUUAUCUAACAACAACUUUUCAUUUUUUUAUCAUAAAGCUUCAAAAUUCAAGCAUACUCAUUGUAGGGCCCAAUUUCUACCCGGCCCGUUAAAUAAAUAAAAACCAAAUAGAAACAAAGGCUAAUGUUUCAGUCCAAUUUUGUUACAAACCCAAUAACGGGCCCAAUAGCUAAUUCCUAACACAGGCCCGAAAUUAAUGGAAAAGGAAGGGUUUGGAAACCUAGCAGCAGCCUCCCCGCUUCCAGCAAAGCCUCCAGCCGCCGCACGUCUCGGGACCGACUCCUCCACGUGCGCUCCACAAACACCUGCAAGCACGAACUCAAAGAGUCCGAAAGAGAAGAAACAGCCAAAAAUAGCAAUUAUAUUCGAUUUCUUUUUCUUUUUCGGGCUAUAUAAAGCCGUUUUAUUUUGUAAAAUGGGGA